AGGAUGAACGCUGGCGGCGUGCCUAACACAUGCAAGUCGAACGUUAGGAGAUAGCAAUAUCUCCAAAAGUGGCGAACGGGUGAGUAACACGUGGGUAACCUGCCGCGCAGAGGGGGAUAACGACUGGAAACGGUCGCUAAUACCGCAUGGUACCAAGAGGAAUGGUCUCCUUUGGUUAAAACUUUGGUGCUGCGCGAGGGGCCCGCGUCCGAUUAGCUAGUUGGUAAGGUAAUGGCUUACCAAGGCAACGAUCUGUAGCCGACCUGAGAGGGUGGUCGGUCACACUGACACUGAAUAACGGGUCAGACUCCUACGGGAGGCAGCAGUCGGGAAUUUUGGGCAAUGGGCGAAAGCCUGACCCAGCAACGCCGCGUGAAGGAUGAAGUAUUUCGGUAUGUAAACUUCGUAAGAAUGGGAAGAAUAAAUGACGGUACCAUUUGUAAGGUCGGCUAACUACGUGCCAGCAGCCGC
rnacentral:rRNA from 1 species